GGUUCCAUGGUGUAGUGGUUAGCACAUCUGCCUUACUUGCAGAAGCUCCUGGGUUUGAUUCCCAGGGGAACCC